GUGUGCUUCUUAACAUAAAGUUAUGUCACUAUGCCAAGCUUUUAUAUUGCUACUGUGACUGAGCAACUUGCCUAUAGACAGAGGGGGCUUAAGCAGUGCUGCCUAUUCUGUCGUAAUAUAACCGAAACUGAAGUCCAGCCUGACUGCUGCAGAGAAGUGAACGCCAUUGUGCAGGUAAACGACACCUGAGAAGCCCAGUGUGGAACAUGUAAUAGUGCCUCGCAGGUGAGUCACAUUGUUGAGUUCUUUUAAUGGAUCAUCCAUGAACUCUUUGUGUGUUUAUGGAAACAGGAGCUUCGCUGACAUUUUUAAUAAUUAAUUAGCAGAUUUCAUAGGACAUGACAGGAACAUAUGGUGUUGUUUUGGUUGUGCUCUAGUCACAAGAGACUGAUAAACUUUGAUGGCAUCCACAAACCAAUUCAAAGUAGGUUAUUUCCUGACUUAAAAAGAGGUUUGGUACCACAAAGUCCACCAGCAAUGACACAAUCCCGUUCUGAAAGCGUAAUCUGUUACACAACAAAGUCGUGAUAAGGAACAAAUGUUUGCACAACUGGUUUUGAUUUUGAUUUCUUCCCUCUGGAGUCCCGGGUGCAGUCGCUGAGCUUUGUGGAUCUCCUGUGGAUCUGCAACAGAGGAAACACAACAAUGGUGCCUGGCUGUCCUGGUAAACGAGAGUCCCCAGGUGACUGAUGUAGGAAAUACCAUACCAGGAAACUUCCUUUUGUAUUUUUCACCUGAAAGGAGACACUGUUGGGAGUGUUGGCUACUCUACAUUUUCCAACUCCAAUUUCAAGACUCAAAAUGAAACGUGUCUUUUCUACUUUUACUCUUUUAAAUCUGCCUAACUAUAAACACACUGAAGUGUGAUUUUGAUGUGAGAGUGUUUCCACUUUGUGUGACCUUAUUAUUUUACUGUACUUCAUUUUUUUACUCAGACAGUUGUUGCUAUUAGUUAUUUUAUUGUAUACAGUUUAAAAUAUGUAAGAUGUGCUUUAUUGGUCCCCAUAGGUUUGUAUUAAAUGUAUAUGAAAUCAGUGGAUUUGUGUUUUUCUGUGUUGACCAGUGUGUUAUUUCUGUUUGUUAACAGUAGGCCUGCAGAUAUUAAGAUGUCCUUAAUACGUCAUUAAUAAAGUGUUUUUUUAUCCA